UUUUUCUCUUUAAACCUAGCAAAGGCAGUUUUUAGUUUUGUUGAAAUUGCUGUAUCCAGUAAAAUUUAGCAUAGCAUAGCAACGAUCGUAAGUAGUGCUUAAAGGAACACUAAAAUCCCAUGAUUCUUUAUAGGGGGUCAUUGUUGUAAUGGAGCUUAGCGUGAGUAUCCCCACUAAUUAGCCUCCCUUACUCGGCUCAAACGUCCUAAAUGAUUAUAGCAGUAUCCCCAAAUACCAGUUGAGACUUGUACAACAAACACACUUUAUUGGACCGUGGUCGUUCUUUGAUCCAUCAUACAGUUCCAUGCUGUCAUUUCGGGCUUGCAAACUAACCCCCCAGUCCAUCAGUUAGUGUUACAGUGGCCGGGUAGCAAGGAUCAGGGGCGCUCACUGUGCUGCAUCUGCCAUGCAAGUUUUGGGGGUACUGGGGCUGGGAGAAUUAUAGUUCUCAGUUCUCUGUGACAGUGCUCCCUCCUUGACCAACAGUCUCUGGUAGGCAUAGGUAGAUACUGACUGUUUGGCUUGGAG